rnacentral:rRNA from 1 species
AUACGGGGGGUGCAAGCGUUAAUCGGAAUUACUGGGCGUAAAGCGCACGUAGGCGGCUUGAUAAGUCGGAUGUGAAAUCCCCGGGCUCAACCUGGGAACUGCAUUCGAUACUGUCAGGCUAGAGUAUGGUAGAGGGAAGUGGAAUUUCCGGUGUAGCGGUGAAAUGCGUAGAUAUCGGAAGGAACACCAGUGGCGAAGGCGGCUUCCUGGACCAAUACUGACACUCAGGUGCGAAAGCGUGGGGAGCAAACAGGAUUAGAUACCCCGGUAGUCC